rnacentral:misc_RNA from 1 species
ACUUGGCCGUUUUCGUCCCGGACGACCGUUUUCACCCGUUUGCACCCGUUUCCGUGAGCUACGGCACACGAAAAUGGCCGAGGAUGGUGCGAAUAUUGUCCGUUUUCACCCACUUCCAUGUAUAACUCGCCAUGCUAGCGUAUUAUUGCACAGUACAUGGCCCUUAGCUAUUUCCAUGUCAUGGUGAGCAACAAUUAUAUCAUUCACUUGUCGUUUUGCCAUGCGUACAUGUCCAUGCAACUAACCCCAUAGAGUUGUGCAUGUAUGAUUUGCGGCCAUCUAUGGCAUGUGGUUAGAGAUGUGCAACAAACACCUUAUAGUUGUAGUUGCCACGAAUGUUCUCGGGUUGGCCACGAACGCCGUGAUG